rnacentral:rRNA from 2 species
CCUACGGGAGGCAGCAGUAGGGAAUCUUCGGCAAUGGACGAAAGUCUGACCGAGCAACGCCGCGUGAGUGAAGAAGGUUUUCGGAUCGUAAAACUCUGUUGUUAGAGAAGAACAAGGAUGAGAGUAGAACGUUCAUCCCUUGACGGUAUCUAACCAGAAAGCCACGGCUAACUACGUGCCAGCAGCCGCGGUAAU